UACAGAGGGGGCAAGCGUUGUUCGGAAUUACUGGGCGUAAAGGGCGCGUAGGCGGCCUUCUAAGUCGAACGUGAAAUCCCCGGGCUCAACCCGGGAACUGCGUCCGAUACUGGAAGGCUUGAAUCCGGGAGAGGGAUGCGGAAUUCCAGGUGUAGCGGUGAAAUGCGUAGAUAUGCGGAGGAACACCGAUGGCGAAGGCAAUCCCCUGGGCCUGCACUGACGCCCAUGCACGAAAGCGUGGGGAGCAAACAGG
rnacentral:rRNA from 1 species